GAUGAAGAACGUAGCGAAAUGCGAUACUUGGUGUGAAUUGCAGAAUCCCGUGAACCAUCGAGUCUUUGAACGCAAGUUGCGCCCGAAGCCAUUAGGCCGAGGGCACGCCUGCCUGGGCGUCACACGUCGUUGCCCCCCCAUCUACUCCUUCGGGAUUGCGGGGGGCGGAUGAUGGCCUCCCGUGCGCCUCGCCGCGCGGUUGGCAUAAAUGCUAAGUCCUCGGCGACGCACGCCACGACAAUCGGUGGUUGCGAAACCUCGGUUGCCCGUCGUGUGCGGUCGUCGCGCAUCGAGGGCUCGAAAAAAUUGCCGGGUUCCGGCUCGGCUUUCAACGCGACCCCAGGUCAGGCGGGGUUACCCGCUGAAUUUAAGCAUAUCAAUAAGCGGAGGA
rnacentral:misc_RNA from 1 species